rnacentral:lncRNA from 10 species
UUUUGGGAGGCUGAGGUGGGCGGAUCACUUGAGGUCAGGAGUUCGAGACCAGCCUGGCCAACAUGGCGAAAUCCCAUCUCUACUAAAAAUACAAAAAUUAGCUGGGCGUGGUGGCCUGUGCCUAUAGUCCCAGCUACUUGGGAGGCUGAGGCAGGAGAAUCACUUGAACCUGGGAGGCAGAGGUUGCAGUGAGCCGAGAUCGCGCCACUACACUCCAGCCUGGGCGACAGAGCGGGGCUCCAUCUCAAAAAAUAUAUACGUAUUUCACAGAUACAGUCCUUCCUCGUUUUGGUAAUUGACAGAGCAUAAGCAGUUUUUAAUUUUUUCAAAUUUACAAUUAGGCUCCUGCACGGCAACUCUCUUCCUGUGAACUGAAGGGAAACUUGGAGUCUCCCUCUCCACAGGGUUCUCGUCUUCUGGAAAAGAGAAGAUGGGAAAAUGCGGAUAAGAAGAGGGUUAGAGGGGAGGAAAGAAAUAAAAACCGAGCAAUUUCUAGAAAACAUGAUGAUUAAAAAAAAACCAUCCACGCUUUUGGAAUGGACGGAUUCUUUAACACCUGUGGAUUUCCUUAUUCUGUGACUAGCAAGCUCCCAAGCCCACAGGUAGGAAGCUUCAGCCAGUGUGUGUGGAAAAAACGCCGGUUUUGGGAUACGACGGACAAGUCAGAAGCCUGCUUGAACCGCCGUCACCCCUUUGCAGCCAUCCAACACCACGAACAGCAAAAACAUCAGGUUCUGGCAACCUGUGGGGACAAAGUGACCAUCAGCACGGGGAGGUCGCUGUCAGAGCCGCGUCACAGCUCUUACGCCUCCCAGAAUGGUUUUUGGUGUGAGGAUUGCUGCAUGGAUUGAGAAGGUGGAAUUUGAUUGGAAUAACUGGAUCAUCUCACGGAUGGCUGAAUCCUAAAAUGCCUACAAAGCGUGAAACUGACUCAGGAUUUCACAGAGGAUGUAGAAGCUGGAUUUCACCAUGUUGGCCAGGCUGGACUCGAACUGCUGACCUCAAGUGAUCCGCCCGCCUUGGCCUCCCAAAGUGCUGAGACUACAGGCGUGAGCCACCGUGCCCGGCCAGCAAUCUGUCUUUUCUAUGGAGGCACAAAUGUGCAGCAAACCUUGCCUCUCCCCUAUGACCAUUUGGAUAAUUUGGUUACUCUGUAGACACCGAGUUGAGGAUUUUCAGAGAUCAGGCUUAUUUGAGCAAUUAAACAUUUCUCCAUUCUAAGCAUACACUAGAUAAUAAAUAUUCCACACAUAAUUUAAGCAAUGAAUCUUAUGAAAAGAGCGACGGAGGGAGAAGGGGGAAAAUACAUUUUUCCUCGUGGUCACUUUCUGAACUACUGUCUAAGCCUGACAUUAAACUCACACCCUCCCCCUCCAUCUGGGUUCUUCGUUCUUUCCUUGAAAAGGAGGAGGAAGGAAAAGAAACCGUUUGGCUGUAAUACCGCGCUCUGUUUCUGGCUGUUACCAGCAAAAACACUGUGGCCAAUGAUGCCCAGUUAGAACCUGGGCUUUCUAACCUGAUAAACAGAAAAGCCUUCUGCCAACACUUCAAUGGGGCAUCCUGAGGCCAGAGGAGGCUCCAGGGGUUUUCAGCUCGUUGGCAGAAAAGCAUAGCAUAACAGCAGACUAUCUUCCAGGUAGAGGCAUAUUUGCGUAUGUGAAAACAGAAUUUACUGGCGGAAAAGUCAUUCUCUUGAAGUCAAAGCAGUGCCUGGUGAUCUUGUUGCUGAAGGUUUAUCUACAGUCCUAGAGUCAGGGAGGGGGAGGGUGAUGGCGGAAUGGGGGUGGAGGCCACAGGCGGAGUGCAGAACCGUGGCAUCCUGGGGCUUGAGGAAGGCAGGUGUGUCCUUGGAGAAGAAUAAAUGUCCUAGAGACGCAGAACCAAAGCUGGAGCUGGGCUGAGCUGAGACCCGAGGGUUCCCACAGGCCAGUUCUGGAGGAGAUAGAGAAGGCUAGAAAGCCGUGGAGAAUACGGGAUGGGGGUCCUGGGAGGGCAGGGCUAGGGGGCGGUUCAGGUGCGUCUUGGCACAAGCAUGUCUGUGCCCCCGGGCGUCCUGAGCAGAGCGGGGUGUCAGGGCGGGGCGCGGGCAUUUCGCUCCUCUCUCCCUGAACCCUUUCACAUCCUUCCCGAUCCUGUUUUGCGUUAUCCCAGGAUCACACGCACAAAUCCAAACAAACUUUUCUGGUCCCGUUCAUCUCCCUCUCAUCCUAGAGGGCACGGAUUUUGUUUGAUGAGAAAAUAAAGAAGGUCAGAGGGAGACAGGACACAGAAACAGCAGCUCUCGGGAGGGCAGCUGGAGGCCGGGCUAGGGCUGCCUCCACUGUGCCAGGGCUGGGGGGGAUUGGCAGAGACGUCUGGGUCCCCAACCAUCGGCUCUUCCCUCAAAGAGCAGCGGGGGCUCUGCGGGAGGAUACACUACCCUGAAAGACUCUCACCAGCCAACCCAAGCCAGUGUUUGUUCUGCCUGGCUCUGGGACCCUCCCGCCAGGACCCCAAACACUGCCGAGGGAGGAAUUUUAAAAAUAAAAUGGAUGGGCCGGGCACGGUAGCUCACGCCUGUAACCCCAGCACUCUGGUAGCCUGAGGCGGGCAGAUCACCUGAGAUCAGGAGUUCAAGACCAGCCCAGCCAUGGUGAAACUCCAUCUCUACUAAAAAUACAAAAAAUUAGCCGGGUGUGGUGGUGUGCACCUGUAAUCCCAACUACUGGGGAGGCUGAGGCAGAAGAAUCACUUGAACCUGGGAGGUGGAGGUUGCAGUGAGCCGAGAUCGCGCCAUUGCACUUCCAGCCUGGGCAACAAGAGUGAAACUCCGUCUCAAAAAAAAAAAAAAAAAAAAAGAAAAACAAAAAAAGAUGAUCUUAUGGGCAGCAGCUGCCAUGAGCUCCUUCAUCAAGGAACCAACACAGAAGUGGUGCAGUUGUUUUCUCUGAAUCUUUCUCGUCGGUUACUUUUUUUUUUUUUUUUUUGAGAGAAUCUUGCUCUGUCGCCCAGGCUGGAGUGCAGUGGUGCAAUCCUGGCUCACUGCAACCUCUGCCUCCUGGGUUCAAGCGAUUCUCGUGCCUUAGCCUCCAAGUAGCUGAGACCACAGGCACCCACCACUACGCCUGGCUGAUUUGAUUUUUGUAUUUUUAGUAGAGACAGGGUUUCACCAUGUUGGCCAGGCUAGUCUUGACUCCUGACCUCAGGUGAUCCUCCCGCCUCGGCCUCCCAAAGUGCUGGGACCACAGGCGGGAGCCACCAUGCCCUGCCUCGGUUGCUUUUUAUUCAGAGGUUGAACUCUCCAUAAAGCCAUGGACAAAAAAAUCAUCUUGCAUGCGUUAGGGUUGACGUUAACAGCCCUAUUUAAAAAUGUUGGCCAGGCACGGUGGCUCACAUCUGUAAUCCCAGCACUUUGGGAGGCUGAGGUGGAUGGAUCACUUGAGCCCAGGAAUUUGAGACCAGCCUGAGCAACAUGGUGAAACCCCAUCUCCACAAAAAAUACAAAAACCAGCAGGGCGUAGUGGCACGCACUUGUAGUCCUUGCUACUUAGGAGGCAGAGACAGGAGGAUGGCUUGAGGCCAGGGAGGUUGAGGUUGCAGUGAGCUGUGAUUGAGCCACUGCAUUCCAGCUUGGAUGACAGAGUGAGACUCUUAUCUCAAAAAAAAAAAAAAAAAAAAUGUCCGUACUUGAUUCCUCAUAUCUGGAAAGUCCCUUCAGUUUAUAAGUGGAAUUCACAGUGGUAAAGCCACUGGGACAAGCACAGCUUCUAAUCACAGCUGUUUCUCAAAUGCUCUCAUGUAUUGCAGAAAAUUUAACAACCUAGGUAAAUUAAAAAACCUAAGUAAAGGGAGUUUAGGGCAUUAUAUGGCACACAGUAGUCGCUUGACAAAUACUGGCUGGAUGUUACUUAUCUGUUGGAAAUAAUUCAACUAACAUAUUUGUGUACUGAAACGUUUUUUAAGCAGCUCUUCAAAUAUAUUUAGAUAACUCACACAUUAAAUUCUAAAAUAUAAUUUUGAUUAAAAAUGCAUGUAUCAACGCUGGGCACAGUGGCUCAUGGCUGUAAUCCUAGCACUCUGUGAGGCCAAGGCAGGUGGAUCACCUGAAGUCAGGAGUUCGAGACCAGCCUGGCCAACAUGGUGAAAC